GUGGAGGAAGCUGACUGUGCUGAAGGCUGGUAAGCCUCUGACCUGCUUUUCUAUGUUCGUGGAUCAAGCAUUGGGACAGAGAAGGAAUUUGGCCAGGACAGCCUGCUACUUGUAAUUUCUAGAUGUGGGGACAACUGUUCCCAGCCCCUUGCUUCUUGAUAGGAGGGAGCUACCUCAUCUAGGCCCCAUGGACAGCUCCAGAGAGAAGGCCAGACAUGAAGCACAUCAAGGGCCAGGCCUGGAUGGAGGGCCUGAGCGAAAUCUAAAGUAAGCUCCGCGGACACAGUCUCCUCACCAGCCCUGGGGUCCGGGACCAGCCCUGGGGUCCGGGACCGGGAAGAAGCAGCAAGGACAGGAGGUAGCACAGGGCAAGCAGAAGAGCUGCCUCAGCACCGGGCGAACAGAAGA